rnacentral:rRNA from 1 species
CGGUGAAUACGUUCCCGGGUCUUGUACACACCGCCCGUCAAACCAUGAAAGUGACCAACACCCGAAGUCCGAUUCGUCGGCCUAAGGUGGGGGGCAUGAUUGGGGUU